ACUCCUACGGGAGGCAGCAGCCGCGGUAAUGCGCGAAAGCGUGACGCAGCGACGCCGCGUGGGGGAUGAAGGCCCUCGGGUUGUAAACCACUGUCGGGAGGGGCGAAUACCCGGCUUCGAAUAGGAGACCGGGGGUGACGGUACCUCCAAAGGAAGCACCGGCUAACUCUGUGCCAGCAGCCGCGGUAAUA
rnacentral:rRNA from 1 species